UACGUAGGAUGCAAGCGUUGUCCGGAAUUAUUGGGCGUAAAGCGCACGUAGGCGGUUUCUUAAGUUUGGUCUUAAAGACCGGGGCUCAACCCCGGGAAUGGACUGAAAACUGGGAGACUGGAGGAUGUCAGAGGAAAGUGGAAUUCCGAGUGUAGCGGUGAAAUGCGUAGAUAUUCGGAGGAACACCAGUGGCGAAAGCGACUUUCUGGGGCAUUCCUGACGCUGAGGUUCGAAAGCUCGGGGAGCAAACAGG
rnacentral:rRNA from 1 species